UUGUGGUUGUGUUGUUUGUUACUAGCUGCUUGCUUAAACUUGUACUGAGCUCCUAACUGCUACCUCUGAUGGACACAUUUAAAUUUGCCAUAUUUUAUUUGACUGACAAAAGUGUGAAAAUCUACAAUACCUCUUUCAUUAAAGGUCAAACAGUGGGUUAGUUUACCCAGGUGACCUGUCAGCCUGACAUUGACAGUGAUGAAGGGUGGAUUGAAAUCAACUGUACCAGCACCAAAUGACCAAAGGCAGUUGCAGCAAAGGUACUGCUGUUUGGAGAGUUGCCAGAGUUGGUGAACUCAGUGAAGGAAUGUAUUGAAUCUAUUCUUGAUGGCUCUGAGAGUUUUCACAGAAGAACAUCAUCAUUGCCAGACAGUGAGAUUGAAAUGGUUCCCCUAGCUGACAGUAAUAUCUUGGUCCAAAAAAAUCCUACCAGAGGCUAAACAGAGCAAGAAUGAGCAUCUUUGCACAGGAGCUUGCUGUUUUAGUCUUCUCAGAGGAAACUCCAAAAGAAUCCACUCUCACAGGAAAGUCUCGGCCAGAUGACCCAUCAAAAAAGCAACUGGAGAAGGAAAAGGUACAUGCCUUGACAAGUAAAGACAUGAUCUCAUUUGCCAUGUUUUGAUUGCUGCAAUACCAACAUAGUUAUAUGGAACAUCUAUAUGUAUAGUGAGGCACAUUCUGCUGACUUUCUGUUCUAGUAAAGAUUAGCAGACUAAGAUUUCUUAAGUAUUCAGUAUCACUAACGGAUACCGUCAUGGUGGAAUUUCCAAACACAACACCAGGUGCAAUACGGCGCAAAUGUAACAAUGAGCAAUUUGCAAAUAAAAGAAAGAUUUAACUUAUGGAAUUUUUAAGUACUAUUUCAGUAACAUUUUUUUGACAAUCUUCUGUUGACCUAUUGACCUAUUCUCUAUAGAUAUGCUUAAGCAUACAUGAUCUUUGUCUGUAAAAAGAUUUGUAGGGUUAUCUGCUCAAAAUUUAAACAACUAGCUAGACCUAUCCACCUCUACGGGGACCAUUAUAUAUGGAAUGAGAACAGGGACAUAUCCAAGUAGAUAUUUUUACACCCAGGGAACCAAGAGAACCACUUAUGGAGUUCAUUUACACUUUUAGACAAUUGUAUUUAAAAGGGUCUUCACAGGAGACACAAUCUAUUAGCUCUAUCACCACCAUUACCAUGAGUUAUAAAUUACCAGAAAUGAAAGUGCUUAAUUGCAAGGUAGAACAAAUUGGGGUUAAAGUACAAAAAUGGUGAUUAGAGAUAGAAGGUUAUGUUAAAGUAGGAAAAGAUUAACAGUAUUAUUAGAAGAGUGAAAGAUGAAAGAAAAGGGGUAGAAGAUGGUGUUCUUUGAAACAUAGCUAUGAGCAAAUUGAAUCCAUUUAAAUAUGUGCUAUGGUUACUUUCACACCAAAGAUGGGAAAUUGAUCACAGCAAAUCAGCCCUACUGAAGAUGUUUGUUCUUCAUGGAAAAAAAAUCCUUUUGCAUUGAAUUCCUAUGUUUUGGUAGAAUAGGAGAUGAACAAAAUCACAUUGCCUAUAUUUAAAAAAAAACAACAAAAAAAAAAAACUGUGCAUUCGGUGUCUGUUUCUGAGAUUCUCUUAGUUGUAACAUCAAACUUAGCUGGCUAACUGGUUAAGAACUGGUGGUUGUCCAAAAAAGAAAUGUCCAAUCCGAUACAUUACUCAAAAAGUAUUGAGUGUAUUCUAAACAGAUAUAAGUUCAGAUAUGAACAGGAGGUGCUUUUUGUGUGGGAAUGGGAUUCCAUGGGAUGCAGUGAAAAGGACACACAGGAGGUUUUUAAUUUUAGGGGCACAAGCUAGCAGUCGGAUAUGAAGAUUGCAGGACAAACAAAGCCCAGUUAUGAAAUGGAGUGAUGUAGCUGAGGUUUAGGUACUGUCAGAGGCACAAUUCACAAACCAUGGUGACAGAGCUGGCAUUGCUACCUCUGUUUUUCCAAUGUUUCUGAGAGCAUAGUAGUAGGGUUCAUACGUAUUUGAUUGAAAAAGGUGGGGGGACUUUCAGGUUUAGGUGACACCCACUUCAGGUAUAUAUCUGGUAAAGAUAUGGAUACUGUAUUUGGAGCACUACACAUUGCAUUACCCCUCCUUGGCACAGUUUAAAACUUUGAUCAUUUUAUCAGAAAGUGAUAAAUCAGAAGCUAAGAGAAGGAUUUCUGUUAAAGAAAACCCAGAGCACAUUAAAGAAUAAAAUACAUUAUCAGUACAAACCUUUAUGAUUUCAGUUGAAGAAAAAGAAUGCCAGGGCAGAGCAUGCAAACAUCAUAGUUAUCCAGCUGUCCAUGGUUCAGAUUGGAUGGUGAUCUUAGUUAAACUAAAUAGGUUUGGUCAAAAGCCAACAGCCAAUGCAUAUUUUAUCUGAUAAUAAUAAUACUUUUAUAUUGGCCAUAAAUUAUCUAGCAGUUAGUGUAUGUUAUUGUACUCAUACCAUGCAUAGUAACAAUGGAGAUUGAUUUCUAUUUAAUUUCUCAUACUCAGGACUGCAUAGGGAGUUUGUGGACAUUUGUAGUACAGCAUGUACAGAUGCUGUGUCAUCCGAAAUCUCAUAUCCAGAGAUUAGUGGGUGUUACCAUGGUAUCUAGCAAGCUCCUGAGAGUCUUCUCUUUGCCUGGUUGACAGUAUGCACCAAUUCUAUUGGGCAUACAGAUGUUAG